rnacentral:rRNA from 1 species
UGGCUCAGGACGAACGCUGGCGGCGUGCCUAACACAUGCAAGUCGAGCGAAGAACUCGGUCUUAGCGGCGGACGGGUGAGUAACACGUGGGUAACCUGCCUCAAAGAGGGGGAUAGCCUCCCGAAAGGGAGAUUAAUACCGCAUAACAUUAGAUCUUCGCAUGGAGAUUUAAUUAAAGGAGCAAUCCGCUUUGAGAUGGACCCGCGGCGCAUUAGCUAGUUGGUGAGGUAACGGCUCACCAAGGCGACGAUGCGUAGCCGACCUGAGAGGGUGAUCGGCCACAUUGGAACUGAGACACGGUCCAGACUCCUACGGGAGGCAGCAGUGGGGAAUAUUGCACAAUGGGCGAAAGCCUGAAUGCAGCAACGCCGCGUGAGUGAUGAAGGCCUUCGGGUUGUAAAACUCUGUCUUUGGGGACGAUAAUGACGGUACCCAAGGAGGAAGCCACGGCUAACUACGUGCCAGCCGCCGC